GCAGCGGUGGUUCAGUGGUAGAAUUCUCGUCUUACAUGUGGGAGAUCUGGGUUCAAUUCCUAGCCAAUGCA
rnacentral:tRNA from 1 species